GAUGAACGCUGGCGGCGUGCCUAAUACAUGCAAGUCGAGCGAACAGACGAGGAGCUUGCUCCUCUGACGUUAUCGGCGGACGGGUGAGUAACACGUGGAUAACCUACCUAUAAGACUGGGAUAACUUCGGGAAACCGUAGCUAAUACCGGAUAAUAUAUUGAACUGCAUGGUUCAAUAGUGAAAGACGGUUUUGCUUUCACUUAUAGAUGGAUCCGCGCCGCAUUAGCUAGUUGGUAAGGUAACGGCUUACCAAGGCAACGAUGCGUAGCCGACCUGAGAGGGAGAUCGGCCACACUGGAACUGAGACACGGUACAGACUCCUACGGGAGGAAGCAGUAGGGAAUCUUCCGCAAUGGGCGAAAGCCUGACGGAGCACAGCCGCGUGAGUGAUGAAGGUCUUCUGAUCGUAAAACUCUGUUAUUAGGGAAGAACAAAUGUGUAAGUACCUAUGAACGUCUUGACGGUACCUAAUCAGAAAGCCACGGCUAACUCCGUG
rnacentral:rRNA from 1 species